rnacentral:rRNA from 1 species
AUACGAACCGUACGAACGUUAUUCGGAAUCACUGGGCUUAAAGAGUGCGUAGGCGGCUUGGAAAGUUGGGUGUGAAAUCCCUCGGCUCAACCGAGGAAUUGCGCCCAAAACUGUCAAGCUUGAGGGAGAUAGAGGUAAGCGGAACUAAUGGUGGCGCGGUGAAAUGCGUUGAUAUCAUUAGGAACACCUGAGGCGAAAGCAGCUUACUGGGUCUCUUCUGACGCUGAGGCACGAAAGCUAGGGGAGCGAACGGGAUUAGAUACCCCAGUAGUCC